rnacentral:rRNA from 1 species
UACGAAGGGGGCUAGCGUUGCUCGGAAUCACUGGGCGUAAAGCGCACGUAGGCGGACUCUUAAGUCGGUGGUGAAAUCCUGGAGCUCAACUCCAGAACUGCCUUUGAUACUGGCGAGCUUGAGUCCGGGAGAGGUGAGUGGAACUGCGAAGUGUAGAGGUGAAAUUCGUAGAUAUUCGCAAGAACACCAGUGGCGAAGGCGGCUCACUGGCCCGGUACUGACGCUGAGGUGCGAAAGCGUGGGGAGCAAACAGG